UGGGGAAUUUUGGACAAUGGGGGAAACCCUGAUCCAGCCAUCCCGCGUGUGUGAAGAAGGCCUUCGGGUUGUAAAGCACUUUUGUCCGGAAAGAAAUCCUUGGCUCUAAUACAGUCGGGGGAUGACGGUACCGGAAGAAUAAGCACCGGCUAACUACGUGCCAGCAGCCGCGGUAAUACGUAGGGUGCAGCGUUAAUCGGAAUUACUGGGCGUAAAGCGUGCGCAGGCGGUUUGCUAAGACCGAUGUGAAAUCCCCGGGGCUCAACCUGGGAACUGCAUUGGUGACUGGCAGGCUAGAGUAUGGCAGAGGGGGGUAGAAUUCCACGUGUAGCAGUGAAAUGCGUAGAGAUGUGGAGGAAUACCGAUGGCGAAGGCAGCCCCCUGGGCCAAUACUGACGCUCAUGCACGAAAGCGUGGGGAGCAAACAGGAUUAGAUACCCUGGUAGUCCACGCCCUAAACGAUGUCAACUAGUUGUUGGGGAUUCAUUUCCUUAGUAACGUAGCUAACGCGUGAAGUUGACCGCCUGGGGGAGUACGGUCGCAAGAUU
rnacentral:rRNA from 1 species